CGGACGGGUGAGUAAUGCUUGGGAAUCUGGCUUAUGGAGGGGGAUAACUACGGGAAACUGUAGCUAAUACCGCGUAAUAUCUUCGGAUUAAAGGGUGGGACUUUCGGGCCACCUGCCAUAAGAUGAGCCCAAGUGGGAUUAGGUAGUUGGUGGGGUAAAGGCCUACCAAGCCGACGAUCUCUAGCUGGUCUGAGAGGAUGACCAGCCACACUGGAACUGAGACACGGUCCAGACUCCUACGGGAGGCAGCAGUGGGGAAUAUUGCACAAUGGGGGGAACCCUGAUGCAGCCAUGCCGCGUGAAUGAAGAAGGCCUUCGGGUUGUAAAGUUCUUUCGGUGAUGAGGAAGGUGUUUGUUUUAAUAGAGCAAGCAAUUGACGUUAGUCACAGAAGAAGCACCGGCUAACUCCGUGCCAGCAGCCGCGGUAAUACGGAGGGUGCGAGCGUUAAUCGGAAUGACUGGGCGUAAAGGGCACGCAGGCGGUGACUUAAGUGGGAUGUGAAAGCCCCGAGCUUAACUUGGGAAUUGCAUUUCAUACUGGGUCGCUAGAGUACUUUAGGGAGGGGUAGAAUUCCACGUGUAGCGGUGAAAUGCGUAGAGAUGUGGAGGAAUACCGAAGGCGAAGGCAGCCCCUUGGGAAUGUACUGACGCUCAUGUGCGAAAGCGUGGGGAGCAAACAGGAUUAGAUACCCUGGUAGUCCACGCUGUAAACG
rnacentral:rRNA from 1 species